AGAUUUUAAUCUGCUAACGUUUUUGUCCACAGUAACACAUUUGGACAAUGGAUUUGCACAAAGAACAUGUCUCCAGGUGAAGAUAAAAAGAAACCAAUUAGAUACCUGCUAUAUUGGAUCAGCUUUAAAAAGAAGCCACAGUAAGUUAUGCCAAGUGCAUUUACUUUAUAAAUCUUUCAGGAUAAAUGCAUUCUUAGAGAUAGGAAUCAAUUCAUAAAAUCCAGUUGAAGCAUUAAUAAAGAAUAAGCCACCACUGUUGAAAUACAGAAGGCCCAGAUUGAUUUUUCAAUAAUUAGCUACAGUUAAUGACGUUACUGAGUUCUGUUCAGUUGCCCAAAUUAAAAAAAGUAAUCCCCCAAAUAAAUAUUUUCAAAACAAAAAGACCAUUCACCAACAUAUAUAAGAAAACAUUUCUGAAGCCUUUAUUUACAAAAGCUUUAAAAACAAAUAAUACCCUCUGUUUUGCAAAUGUCUUAUUUAAAAAGGACCACCCAGUUACAGCACUGUAGUAUCAUGAAUAAAUGUACAAGGAAAACAAACCAAUGUGGCUAACAUUUGGAGAUUUGCUAUUAUUACUGAUUGAAGUGUAGAUAACACACAUCAUUACUUGUAGUCCAUCAUUCUGAGUAGAGUUAAUGAUUACCAAAAUGUCUUCCUACACAUGCUCUGGUCUAGUCACAUAUUCUGCAUGGCUAAAUAUUUCACAGUCUCUUUUGUCAAUAUAUAUAAAAUAGAUUGCAAAGAUAUACACACAAAAAAUAAACAAACAUUACACUCCUCAGGUAAUUUUAUUAGCUAUAUAUUAGCUAUAUGUGUAUAUAUACACACAUACACACAUAGCUAAGAUAUAUUUUUGUAUUUUGUUGUGCACCAAAUCUCUCCAUUCUUUAUCUUUGUAACAACUAUGAAAGCAUAAUUUUUGUCUAAUUUAAUCUGGUACAAAAUAUACCUAAAGAUUUAUUAUCUUUGGACUUUAAUGAAUUUGAUUUUUGGAAUUAACAAAUCAAGAGCUCGUAAGUAUGGCUAUAAAAUUAAAAAAAAUUAAAAUAAGAUGAACAGUGAUGGAAUAAAAGGCAGAUCAAGGGAAUUGUGCCAUCAUAAAA